rnacentral:lncRNA from 1 species
AAGGCACCCAGCCUCGUCGGGGAAUCAAGUCAACCUCGACUGGCCAUGGCGGCUGACGUUUUGAAAUUGAAAACUCCUGAAAAGAAAGGAAAUCAAAGUCAAAUGCCCAAAAAGGCAAAAUGAAGUUGGAAAAGAUUAAGUCCCGCAUGGCUAAUUGUCUCGGCAAAAGUUUGAAAAGCCAAGGUACCCCAAAUGCUCUGAAAUUGAAGUUGGAAGAAAGAAGCCAGAAAUAAAAGGCCUAUAAAGGUGAAACAAGGUUGGAAAAGGUUAAGUCCCACGCGACUAGUCGUUGCGCCAAUGUUUGAGGAGCCAAAACUUCCCUAAUGCUCCGAAGUUAAAAAAAAGAAAAGAGAGAAAAAAAGGAAGUCAGAAAGGAAAGGCAUACGAAGGCAAAAUAAAGUCGAAAAGGUUUGGUUCCACCAACCAACCAUCAUGGCAAAGUCUGAAAAAAACAAAAGUUCUCCAGGGCCUGAAAUGAAAUCGGUCCUCAGGGAAUAAGCAGUUGUAGUUGAGAUCUUCAUCGAAGAAGCCAAGCCAAGAUCGAGUGAUUGAAACAAUCAAGGCUACAAAACCAACCACUAUUUCAAACUAACAAUUAUUCUUUGUUUGAAAAUAGGAAAUAGGUGCAAUCCAAAGCAACGUUGCAAGAAGCAGGUGCAACCAAACAGAAACUGCGCAAGGGAUAGAAACAGCUUUGCAACAAAAAUCAAUCCAAAAGGGAAGCCUCCUCUAAAUUCUUUCCCGAUUUUUACUUAUCUUCUUAAAUAAAACAAAAAAAUGAAAUGAAACGAAGGAGAAGAAAAAUUCAAAAUCAUGGUAGCAUAGGGUCUCCAAUCUCUAGCUACGUCCUUUCCAACAUAGGGUCUCAUUCCCUAGUCAAUGCCACCAUAACUUGGUAAUCGUUUCCUACAUAGGGUCCCAUUCCCUAGUCACUGCCAGCAUAACCUAGUAGUUUUCUUCAGUAUAGGGUUCAACUGCAUAGUUGAUCCCCGGCAUAACCUGAAGACCUUUUUCUUUUCUGACAUAACCUGAUGACUUUCCCGGCAUAACCCGUGGACCUCCCCGGCAUAACCCGUGGACCUCCCCGGCAUAACCCGUGGACCUCCCCGGCAUAACCCGAGGACCUUUUUCUUUUCCGGCAUAACCCGAUGAUCUUUCUUGGCAUAACUCGUGGACCUCCCCAGCAUAACCCAAGGACCUUUUUCUUGUCUGGCAUAACCCGAUAACUUUCCCGUCAUAACUCGGAGAGGUCCCCGGCAUAACCUAAGGACCUUUUUCUUUUCCGGCAUAACCCGUGGACCUCCCUGGCAUAACCCAGGGACCUUUUUUC